rnacentral:rRNA from 1 species
UACGUAGGGUCCGAGCGUUAAUCGGAAUUACUGGGCGUAAAGCGUGCGCAGGCGGUGAUGUAAGACAGGUGUGAAAUCCCCGGGCUUAACCUGGGAACUGCAUUUGUGACUGCAUCGCUGGAGUGCGGCAGAGGGGGAUGGAAUUCCGCGUGUAGCAGUGAAAUGCGUAGAUAUGCGGAGGAACACCGAUGGCGAAGGCAAUCCCCUGGGCCUGCACUGACGCUCAUGCACGAAAGCGUGGGGAGCAAACAGG